rnacentral:rRNA from 1 species
AGGACGAACGCUGGCGGCGCGCUUAACACAUGCAAGUCGAACGUGAAGCCGGGGCUUGCCCCGGUGGAAAGUGGCGAACGGGUGCGUAACACGUGAGCAACCUGCCCCGAAGACUGGGAUAACACCGGGAAACCGGUGCUAAUACCGGAUACCUUCUUCCGAUCGCAUGGUUGGAUGAAGAAAUGGAUUCCGCUUCGGGAUGGGCUCGCGGCCUAUCAGCUUGUUGGUGAGGUAACGCCCACCAAGGCGACGACGGGUAGCUGGUCUGAGAGGACGACCAGCCACACUGGGGCUGAGACACGGCCCAGACUCCUACGGGAGGCAGCAGUGGGGAAUCUUGCUCAAUGGGCGAAAGCCUGAAGCAGCGACGCCGCGUGCGGGAUGAAGGCCCUCGGGUUGUAAACCGCUUUCAGCAGGGACGAAAUUGACGGUACCUGCAGAAGAAGGCCCGGCCAACUACGUGCCAGCAGCCGC